UUCGAUAAAAACUAUUUUGAUGCAAAAGCCGAUUCUAAGAUUACUUAUGAUUAAGUGCAGUUUACGUCUAAACACAGUUUGCGUCUAAGCGCAGUUUACGCAGUUUGCGUCUAAAUGCAGUUUGCGUCUAAAUGCAGAUUGCGUCUAAGCGCAGUUUGCAUCUAAGCGCAGUUUGCGUCUAAGUUCAGAUUGCGUCUAAGCGCAGUUUGCGUCUAGGCGCAGAUUGC
rnacentral:lncRNA from 1 species